AGCGAACGCUGGCGGCAGGCCUAACACAUGCAAGUCGAACGAACCUUUCGGGGUUAGUGGCGGACGGGUGAGUAACACGUGGGAACGUGCCUUUAGGUUCGGAAUAACUCAGGGAAACUUGUGCUAAUACCGAAUGUGCCCUUCGGGGGAAAGAUUUAUCGCCUUUAGAGCGGCCCGCGUCUGAUUAGCUAGUUGGUUGAGGUAAUGGCUCACCAAGGCGACGAUCAGUAGCUGGUCUGAGAGGAUGAUCAGCCACAUUGGGACCGAGACACGGCCCAAACUCCUACGGGAGGCAGCAGUGGGGAAUCUUGCGCAAUGGGCGAAAGCCUGACGCAGCCAUGCCGCGUGAAUGAUGAAGGUCUUAGGAUUGUAAAAUUCUUUCACCGGGGACGAUAAUGACGGUACCCGGAGAAGAAGCCCCGGCUAACUUCGUG
rnacentral:rRNA from 1 species